AGCGAAUUGCGAUAAGUAAUGUGAAUUGCAGAAUUCAGCGAACCAUCGAAUCUUUGAACGCACAUUGCGCCCGCCAGCAUUCUGGCGGGCAUGCCUGUCCGAGCGUCAUUU
rnacentral:rRNA from 1 species